rnacentral:rRNA from 1 species
GACAGAGGAUGCAAGCGUUAUCCGGAAUGAUUGGGCGUAAAGCGUCUGUAGGUGGCUUUUUUAAGUCUCGCUAUCCAAGCCGGUUACCACGACAGGCGGUGGAAACUACCAAGCUGGAGUACGGUAGGGGCAGAGGAAUUUUCCGGGUGGAGCGGUGAAAUGCGUAGAGAUCGGAAAGAACACCAACGGCGAAAGGCACUCUGCUGGGCCGACACUGACACUUGAGAGACGAAAAGCUAGGGGAGCAAUGGG